rnacentral:rRNA from 1 species
AGAACGAACGCUGGCGGCAGGCCUAACACAUGCAAGUCGAACGCUCGUAGCAAUACGAGAGUGGCAGACGGGUGAGUAACACGUGGGAACCUUCCCUAUGGUUCGGAAUAGCUCAGGGAAACUUGGGGUAAUACCGGAUAAGCCCUUCGGGGGAAAGAUUUAUCGCCAUUGGAUGGGCCCGCGUCGGAUUAGCUAGUUGGUGAGGUAACGGCUCACCAAGGCAACGAUCCGUAGCUGGUCUGAGAGGAUGAUCAGCCACACUGGGACUGAGACACGGCCCAGACUCCUACGGGAGGCAGCAGUGGGGAAUAUUGGACAAUGGGCGCAAGCCUGAUCCAGCCAUGCCGCGUGAGUGACGAAGGUCUUCGGAUUGUAAAACUCUUUUGGCGGGGACGAUAAUGACGGUACCCGCAGAAUAAGCUCCGGCUAACUUCGUGCCAGCAGCCGC